GUGUCAUCUCAGAUGUUGAAGAGAUGUUGGGUUUCCUCAGUGUGUUAGGAGGUGUCAUCUCAGAUGUUGAAGAGGUGUCGGGUUGAGUUUCCUCAGUGUGUUAGGAGGUGUCAUCUCAGAUGAUGAAGAGGUGUUGGGUUUCCUCAGUGUGUUAGGAGGUGUCAUCUCAGAUGUUGAAGAGGGGUUGAGUUUCCUCAGUGUGUUAGGAGGUGUCAUCUCAGAUGUUGAAGAGGUGUUGGGUUGAGUUUCCUCAGUGUGUUAGGAGGUGUCAUCUCAGAUGUUGAAGAGGUGUUGGGUUGAGUUUCCUCAGUGUGUUAGGAGGUGUCAUCUCAGAUGUUGAAGAGGUGUUGAGUUUCAUCAAUGUGUUAGGAGGUGUCAUCUCAGAUGUUGAAGAGGUAUUGGGUUUCCUCAGUGUGUUAGGAGGUGUCAUCUCAGAUGUUGAAGAGGUAUUGGGUUUCCUCAGUGUGUUAGGAGGUGUCAUCUCAGAUGUUGAAGAGGGGUUGGGUUUCCUCAGUGUGUUAGGAGGUGUCAUCUCAGAUGUUGAAGAGGUGUCGGGUUGAGUUUCCUCAGUGUGUUAGGAGGUGUCAUCUCAGAUGAUGAAGAUGUGUUGGGUUUCCUCAGUGUGUUAGGAGGUGUCAUCUCAGAUGUUGAAG
rnacentral:lncRNA from 1 species